GACGAACGCUGGCGGCGUGCCUAAUACAUGCAAGUAGAACGCACAGUUUAUACCGUAGCUUGCUACACCAUAGACUGUGAGUUGCGAACGGGUGAGUAACGCGUAGGUAACCUGCCUGGUAGCGGGGGAUAACUAUUGGAAACGAUAGCUAAUACCGCAUAAUAUUAAUUAUUGCAUGAUAAUUAAUUGAAAGGUGCAAUUGCACCACUACCAGAUGGACCUGCGUUGUAUUAGCUAGUAGGUGAGGUAACGGCUCACCUAGGCGACGAUACAUAGCCGACCUGAGAGGGUGAUCGGCCACACUGGGACUGAGACACGGCCCAGACUCCUACGGGAGGCAGCAGUAGGGAAUCUUCGGCAACGGACGAAAGUCUGACCGAGCAACGCCGCGUGAGUGAAGAAGGUUUUCGGAUCGUAAAGCUCUGUUGUAAGAGAAGAACGGGUGUGAGAGUGGAAAGUUCACACUGUGACGGUAUCUUACCAGAAAGAGACGGCUAACUACGUG
rnacentral:rRNA from 1 species